rnacentral:rRNA from 1 species
AAAACAUGUCUUUUUGUUUAUUUGGAAAGUCUGGCCUGCCCAGUGAAUGUUUAACGGCCGCGGUAAAUUGACCGUGCAAAGGUAGCAUAAUCAUUAGUCCUUUAAUAGAGGUCUGGUAUGAAAGGUUUAACGAAACAUAGCCUGUCUCAAAUUUAAUGUAUUAUUGAAUUUAGCUUUUAAGUUAAAAGGCUUAAAUUUAGUUGAUGGACGAGAAGACCCUAUAGAUUUUUACAUAGUUAUUUAUUAUUAUUUAAUUGAUUUAAAAAAGGUAUAAUUUUUAGCUUUGUUUGGUUGGGGUGACCAUAAAUAUAUAAUUAACUUUUAUAUCUUAUAACCAUUGAUUUAUGAUUAUGGGAUCCAUUAUUAUUGAUUAUUAGAUUAAAUUACCUUAGGGAUAACAGCGUAAUCUUCUUUCAAAGUUCAAAUUUACAAGAAGGCUUGCGACCUCGAUGUUGGAUUAAGAUAAUUAUUAGGCGCAGUGGCUUAAUUAAUAGGUCUGUUCGACCUUUAAAUUCUUACGUG